rnacentral:rRNA from 1 species
AUUGAACGCUGGCGGUAGGCCUAACACAUGCAAGUCGAGCGGCUGAAGGGUGCUUGCUCGCUCAUACGGCGGCCGACUGGCGAAUAAUUCCUAGGAACAUCGCUAUUUGUGGUUGCUAACGUGCGAACAUGGGCGAUCAUACCCUAUUACCGCUGACGACGUACGGGUGGAAUCAUCGGAUCUUCCGACAUUACGUGAUCCAAGGUCGGAUUAGCUAGUUGGCGGGGUAAAGGCGUACCAAGGCGACGAUCCGUAACUGGUCUGAGAGGAUGAUCAGUCACACUGGAACUGAGACACGGUCCAGACUCCUACGGGAGGCAGCAGUGGGGAAUAUUGGACAAUGGGCGAAAGCCUGAUCCAGCCAUGCCGCGUGUGUGAAGAAGGUCUUCGGAUUGUAAAGCACUUUUGGUGGGGAGGAAAAGCAGUAAGUUAAUACCUUGCUGUUUUGACGUUACCAACAGAAUAAGCACCGGCUAACUUCGUG